GGAAAGGAAGCUUUAUUGUUUCCAUGGACCCUGUCUUAAAGAGUCUCACAAACUUAGAUAUUUUUUCCUUUGAUGACCACUUGCCCAUAACUGCCUGAGGAAGUGAGAAGUCUUUGAGAUUGCUACCAGGAUCCUUUAUGAAUGUCUGUGAAAAUAUUCACUGAUACUUCGAUGCCUGGUGGCUCCUCCAAACAUCAUCACAUUCUUCUAAUGUUACUAGGUGUGCAGUAGGCAUUUAAGAGAAAUUGCUGAGUUAUAGGAAA
rfam:Tupaia chinensis contig117749, whole genome shotgun sequence.